rnacentral:snoRNA from 8 species
GUCCUCUGAUAACUUCGUGUUAGUGCCACCUGUCUGGGCCACUGAGUACCCAUGAUGGAACCGAGGAUCUGAGGAA